rnacentral:tRNA from 1 species
AAAAACUUAGGAUAAUUAAACCGAGGGCCUUCAAAGCCCUAAAUAAGGGCCCCAUCCCCUUAGUUUUUG